rnacentral:sRNA from 1 species
UUCAGCUAGUACCUCAAGACGUUGUUGG